rnacentral:lncRNA from 1 species
UUUUUUUUUUUUUUUUUACUUGGAGAUGGGGUCUCACUCUGUUGCCAGACUGGAGUGCAGUGGCGUGAUCUCAGCUCACUGCAGUCUCUGCCUCCUGGGUUCAAGCCAUUCUCCUAUCUCAGCCUCUGGAGUAGCCAGGACUACAGGCGUGUGCCACCACGUCCAGCUAAUUUUGUAUUUUUAGUAGAGAUGAAGUUUUACCAUGUUGGCCAGGCUGGUCACGAACUCCUGACCUCAGGCCUCCCAAAGUGCUGGGAUUAUAGGCAUGAGCCACCGCGCCCAGCCUGCUUACACAUUUACCUCUCCUAUGAGAUGAUUGGUUCCCAGCCUCUGGAUGUCACGCAUGCAUUGCAUUUUCCUCCCUAAGCAAAUCGCCACCUCAUGAUAAGACUUUCCCCCUUUGGUCCCCAGACUGACUCCUAAAUUAGUUUAAACCCACAAGCUUUAAGUUAUAAGCAGCGUGAUGCAGACUUGUGGGUGUGUCAUAGUUUGAGUUUAGGUGCUAAUGGUAUGUUGAGAGCAUGCAUGUGACUAUUUCAGGGAUAUAAUUUGAAGGGAUUGGUUUGUGGAUUAUUUGUGCCUGGGCCAUGGAAACUCUGAGUACCUGGCUAAUUUUGAUAAAAGCUGGUGACCCUAUUCAGUUACCCUAUAAAAGAGCCAGAAGCUCCUCCCUGGGGCAGCCUAUUCACGUUUCACCAGUUUUUCCUGCCAGGUCCCUCUGUAGAAUUGCUGUCCUUCUCCAACGAGAUAGGAUGAACCCAGAUCUCUUGGGCCUGUAGACUCCCGGAACAUCAGCCAUCUCCUCUGUGAUGUCAGGGGGAGCAGCCCUUGUCUAGAAAGGAGAUUGCUGAAUCCCAAGUCUUUCUCUGUUUAUCUCUGUCUCUCUCUCUGUCUCUCUCUUUGUGGCACUAAGAUUUAUUAGAAUGUGCCUUAACAUAGGCACUGGGGCUUUUGCCUAUGGUGUUCCUGACAUAUAAAGCCCAGAUGUUCUGCCAGUUCUUCCAGAGCAAUGAUACCUGGAAGCUGAGAGCCAGAUGGACAUUGUACACAAGCUCGUCGUCUGUCAUCCGGACAUGGCCAAGAGCCAUGCCAGACAGAGCCCUUUCUUCCUCUGGAACUUGAUUGUGGACUUCCCCUCAUCAACUUUGGCCACCAUGUCUUCACUGUACGUCAGCAGGGAAGGGAACCUGCCUUCCUUAUUUAGGCCUAGGCCCAGGAUUUGUGGGAUCUGCCUGAUCACAGACCCUGAGGCCAAAAAGGCAUCAUACUUGUUAAGCAGCUUCUUGUUCUUGUCAAGUUUCUUCAGCACCUCGAUGUCCACGUGGGAGACACCCACAGCCUUGGCCUCAUCCCAGUGCUGCUGGUCCCCCAGGACACAUGUGGAGAACGUGGGGCGGGGAGUGGACUUCAGAUGACAGUGCCCAAGAAGCGUUCAUCUUUCUGAGGGUCACAGUUCUUCAAGCGGAUCUGUAGCUCCAGUGUUCCCAAAAGUUUCUGGCACUUGCACUGGUUCCUGUCCAGGACUUCCCGCACUGCCUCCUACAAGGUCUCAAGAGGCUGCUGCUCUUGGUGUUUUGCGCAGGGG